rnacentral:lncRNA from 10 species
UUAAGGAGCAGGGGAAAAGAUCACUCUAAAAUUAUUUCAGAGUUUUCUGAGCUUCUUCCUGAUGAGCAAGGAGACUUGUGGUCUGGUUCUUGGACUUUCCUAGCAGCAUGGCCCCUAAAUGCUAGUCUCCACGCCCACCUCAAAAGAAGAAACCAAGACCACCUCCUGUUCUGAGACUGGAAGAGACAUCAUCAGCCUCUCUAGACUUGCCGAAGAGAGAAAAAGAACAGCAGGAAGCAACUGAACAUAUUGAUGAAGUACAAAAUGAAAUAGACAGGCUUAAUGAACUAAGGGAGGAGAUUCUGAAAGCAGAACAGAAAAUAAACUCUGUCAGCCACUUUUUCAGAAGAGGUGAGAAUUGAUCGCCAAAGUUCCAAGUUUUGGGGUUACAACGUUUGUCAACCAUCCUCAAGUGUCUGCACUGCUUAGGGAGGAGGACAAAGACGCACUGCAUUAUCUGACCAAAGUUGAAGUGACAGAAUUUGAAGAUACUAAGUCAGGUUACAGAAUAGACUUUUAUUUUGAUGAAAAUCCUUCCUUUAAAAAUAAAGUUAUCUUCAACGAAUUUCAUUUGAAUGAGAGUGGUAUUCCAUCUUCAAAGUCCACUGAAAUCAAAUGGAAAGCUGGAAAGGAUGCGAUGAAACAUUCAAGUCAAACACAGAAUAAAGCCAGCAGGAAGAGGCAGCAUGAGGCACCAGAGAGCUUCUUUAUCUGGUUUACUGACCAUUCUGAUGCAGGUGCUCAUAUGUUAGGAAAGUUCAUCAAAGAUGACAUUUGUCCCAUCCCAUUACAGUACUACUUGGUUACCGACUGA